rnacentral:rRNA from 1 species
GUCCCAGACUCCUACGGGAGGCAGCAGUGGGGGAUAUUGCACAAUGGGGGAAACCCUGAUGCAGCGACGCCGCGUGGGCGAAGAAGUAUUUCGGUAUGUAAAGCCCUAUCAGCAGGGAAGAAGAAAUGACGGUACCUGAGUAAGAAGCACCGGCUAAAUACGUGCCAGCAGCCGCGGUAAUACGUAUGGUGCAAGCGUUAUCCGGAUUUACUGGGUGUAAAGGGAGCGCAGGCGGCACGGCAAGCCUGAUGUGAAAUCCGUGGGCUUAACCCGCGAACUGCAUUUGAAACUAUUGGUCUUGAGUGCCGGAGAGGUAAUCGGAAUUCCUUGUGUAGCGGUGAAAUGCGUAGAUAUAAGGAAGAACACCAGUGGCGAAGGCGGAUUACUGGACGGUAACUGACGGUGAGGCGCGAAAGCGUGGGGAGCAAACAGGAUUAGAUACCCUGGUA